rnacentral:rRNA from 1 species
GGCCUAUCAGCUUGUUGGUGGGGUAAUGGCCUACCAAGGCGACGACGGGUAGCCGGCCUGAGAGGGCGACCGGCCACACUGGGACUGAGACACGGCCCAGACUCCUACGGGAGGCAGCAGUGGGGAAUAUUGCACAAUGGGCGAAAGCCUGAUGCAGCGACGCCGCGUGAGGGAUGACGGCCUUCGGGUUGUAAACCUCUUUCAGCAGGGAAGAAGCGCAAGUGACGGUACCUGCAGAAGAAGCGCCGGCUAACUACGUGCCAGCAGCCGCGGUAAUACGUAGGGCGCAAGCGUUGUCCGGAAUUAUUGGGCGUAAAGAGCUCGNAGGCGGCUUGUCACGUCGGAUGUGAAAGCCCGGGGCUUAACCCCGGGUCUGCAUUCGAUACGGGCUAGCUAGAGUGUGGUAGGGGAGAUCGGAAUUCCUGGUGUAGCGGUGAAAUGCGCAGAUAUCAGGAGGAACACCGGUGGCGAAGGCGGAUCUCUGGGCCAUUACUGACGCUGAGGAGCGAAAGCGUGGGGAGCGAACAGGAUUAGAUACCCUGGUAGUCCACGCCGUAAACGUUGGGAACUAGUUGUGGGGACCAUUCCACGGUUUCCGUGACGCAGCUAACGCAUUAAGUUCCCCGCCUGGGGAGUACGG